AUAGCGCCAUCCAGUUUUGCAUAGAACAAAUACUAAAUACAACAAGCUUAAUACCUUAUACAGGUUCUAUUUGGACCCAACAUAUUAAACUUAUUUUUGCAAGUUGGCAGAGUGAUUGAAGCCUGCUUCGCCUCCCCCGUAGAUCGGCCCAGUAUUUCACUAUCUCCGGGAUCGGCCCACGGUAC